CUGAUUCAGCGUACAUGUUCACUCAUUCGGCCGUCUUCACGCGCUUCCUCUGCUCCCUUCGACAAACACUCAAACACAGAAUCCAUAGAGAAGAACAAAAGUAUUAAAUUCUCCAAUACCUGAAAUCGGACUCGUCCUCUUCGAAUUAACUUGAAUCAACAUCAAUCGUGCACUUCGCAUUCAAGCAUCUUGAUUCAGCAGAAGAUUCACCGAAACAAAGUUAUGAACAGAUAACGACUCUUAACCCUCCUCAGUUUCAAUCUUUCCUUCUUCUUCUCCAACUCGUCGAGAUCAUAUGCGUUACAUUUGGAGUUUAUGAAUUGUUUCGCGAUUGGUGACAUAAUAUGGUAUUGCAACGCGUAAGAAUCAUUAGUUGGCAGAAAGAGAGCAGAAGAAAGCUAAACGAAUUGGACUCUGAUACAGUGGCUUCAGUGUUGUCAAAGACGUUUGCAUAGAUCGCGAGAAUGGUUAUGGUAUGAAAUCGCAAUUCUAAUGCAAAAGAUAUGAUGCAGCAGAUGAUGGAUUCAGAAGGAAGAUGUCGGCGAUGCAGGACCUGUAUGAGGAUGAGGGUGCAGUAGAGAAUUUAAGGGAUUGGAGAGGGAUGGGUGGAUUUGAAGAUUGAAGGUCUUUGCUGCAGAGUGAAAAGAUCCUGCUGCUAGUGAAAAGACUCUCGUUGCAGAAGGAAAGCUCCUCUUGCAGAGUGAAGGUAAGCCUCUUUUAUACUUCUCUCCUCUUCCUUCCUUUCAAUUUCUCUAUUUUUAAUCUGUUAGAGUAUAAAAGUUAGUUAGGUUAGUUGUGCAGUUAGUUAUAAAAUGUUUAUCUUAAUUUGGUUAAGCAGUUAGGUUGGUUAAAAUGUGGUUCAAAAUUGUUAGUUACCAGUGAGGUUGUUAGAAGUUGGUUAGGGGUUGUCAUAUAGUUCUGUUAUGAAAUCUACGGUUUUUAUUGAGUUCUGGAAGUUAUGGAGAAGGUUCCACUACCUUUCUGUUAUGACAACUUGCUUCUUCCUUUUCUACUUUUCCCGUUUCCUAUUACUGUGAGGGAUGAUGCUUUUAUCUCCUUUAUUUCUCUUGCAGGGUUUGGAAGUUUUAUUGGUUAUUGAUAAGUUAGUUAGAAAAACGGUUGAGAGUAGUUAUAAGAGAGUCUGGUUCAGGUCAGUUAAGGGUUACGAUGUUAGUUACGCAUUUCGGUUAGUUCCCGAAAAUACUUGUUAGUCUCCUAUUAAAAAUAGUUAGAAAUUGACAAAAAAUACUUGGUGUUACUUGUUAUAUCCGUUAUUUGCUUCUGAUUUCUUCCUAGCCAAUUAAUUGGAAAUUCAGUUUCAAAGUGUAGAUUACAUCAGACCCGGUUGCUACGGAUGGUUAGUUGCUAACUUACUUUCAUGGUGGAUUUCCAAAUGGAGAUAAUUCCAAAUGGUUAGUUCCAAGAAUCCUGUUAAACUAACUGUCUUGAGAAUUAGUUAUAUGUUAAAUUCCAGGUUGUCAAUUCUAUUAGGAGUUAAGCCUUGUCGUUGCAAAAAAAAUCAAGUCAUUCAAAAGAUAUGAUUUACUGUCAAAUAACUGAACCUAACUUGUUAUUUUUGAAAAUUGUGAAACAAGAAUUCGACUUGAUCUCGUCCCAUGACCUUGAUAAAGGUUGCUUAGCUUGUACAUUAUGAGUUGUCGCUUCAGGAAUUUCACCCAGGGCCAUGUUUGGAUAAGCCAGAUGCUAUUGGUAGCUAUCGUGGGAUGUUAAUUUGGUAAUGUGAAUGUAAAUGGUGAAUGUUGUCAGCGAAGAGUUAUGUUGUUACGAACAAAUGGCUAUGUCUAUGGUAUGUACCUUAUUUGUGCUUCCUUGAACUAUGGUCGACUUGGAUAUACGUUGGAUUGUUAUGAUGCUUAGUGAGUGUGUAUGACCGUUGUGAAAUCGUGAUAUAGCCGUAUGGUUCUGUUUGGGCUUGUAGCUAAUAAUUGGUUGUUCUGUUCAUGGGAAAACAAUGCCAACUUGGAUGAGGUUCUGCUUAUGCUGUUGUUGUUUUUUGGUUAAUUCAUGUCUGAAAUGAUAUGGACUUUUAUGAUGCAAUUCCCAUUCUAUUUUGUAGGUUAAUGGUCAUGUUGCAGGAUGGUGUAGCAAGGUUGGUCAUGCAUCUAGACUACUGUUUGGUUCAGUUAGAGUUAAUAUUCAUAUAAGUUAUGAAAUCGUGUUGUUUGGUAAUUGUCAUCUCAUGAUGCCUUGGCUUGAAGAAUCCUUGCUAUGCCAUUCAUGUGAAUGUUACUGGCUUACUGCACUGUCUUGCUAACUGUCAAUUAUAUGGAUGUUUGGUGUAGGAUUCUGGCCAAUUUUGUUUUUGCCAGGUCGAUUAUUGAGGGGUCGAAGCUUAAAUGGUGAUGCAGGCUUGUUAUAAUACUGAACAUGUAUGUUCUGAUUGAAUAAAUGGCAGUAUGACAACAUGUAUUUUGGUUGGGUGAAUGGCUAAGGGUUUAUAGGUUAUGAUGAGUGAAAUUCCAUGAAUGGUGAAUGGCCAUGUAGCCAUAGUUUUGCUAUGUAUUAUGGUUUGGAAACAUGGUUACGAUAACAUGAUGAUUUUACUGACCUAUGAUUGUUAGAUGUAUGGUUUAUUGUUUUGGAAUGUUUCUAACAUGGCUUGGUUGGUGUUUGUAGGAUGUGCAAAGUGUAAUGGUGGAAUCAAAGGAAUGACUUAUUCUUGAAGAAAGUGGUGAAGCUUUGGAAUUGGGUGCACAAAGCUACUUGGGUUAUAAGGACUUGUCGUGGCAUUUGCUAUGGAAUAUUUUUGUAAUUUUGUCAUAAAUUAGAAUCAGAAUAUGUAUGUUUGGGAUUGAAACUACAAUCUAAUGUAAAUUUUGGUUAUGAGUUUAAUGAAUCUAUAAUGAGUUUGUUCUAAUGAAA